UGGGGCGUGGCCAAGCGGUAAGGCAAGGGACUUUGGAUCCCUGAUUCGUAGGUUCGAAUCCUACCGCCCCAGCCA
rnacentral:tRNA from 1 species